rnacentral:lncRNA from 1 species
UGAUAUAUUCUUAGUUAUUAGGGAUGUUAGGGAAAAAAUAAGUGAUGAAAAUAGCCAGAAAGUAUGGUCAGAUGUGGGUACCAAAGUGAAGAAGAAAAAAAUGGAGAUAAGUUUCUUAAUAGUGGAAAAAUAGAAUAUUGUUACAUUAAUUUUCUUGGUCAGAGGAACUUAACCUCUGAUCUCUUUAUGUUUCAAAAAGAGUAUGGUGUGCAUGUGUGUGUAUUUGUGUGGGUAUGCAUGUGAAUGCACGUGCGUAUGCAUGGGUGUGUGGUGCGUGCUGGUUUGU